CGGGAGGCGAGGGCAGCGAGCGCGGCGGGGUUGUGGCGGCGGCAGCAGCGGGGCACGGCCGGGCACGGCCGCUCCGGGAAGCGCCGCGGGACCGGACGGCCGGGCGACGCAGCCCCUCGGUCCCUGCCGCCUCCCUGCACAGCUCCAGCAGGGUUCAGCCAAAUGCAGGGCUGUCAUUCUGCAGAUGUUCAGAGUGUUUCCAGUGUUCUGGGGGCUGAGCUGGUGGCUCUGUGUUGUCCCCUCUGCUCCGAGUGGCCGUGCUCUGACUUCCAUGGGGACUUGCACAUGCAGAGAUCACAGCGACUAUUUUGCAGCUAAUAUAGUGGUUGCCCAAGUAAAUUGCAUCAUGAAAUCCAAAGAUUCCUGGAGUGGUAGAGGAAGUAGGAAUCCCUCAGCUGGAAGACAGAGAACAUGACUACUCCUCUGUCACAGUGCUUUUGCCAUGUUCAGUUUAAACCAUCCUGAAAGUGUACCAGUAGUCAGCCUCUGUGGUAGGUGAGCAGCUGCUGUGCACCGAGGCCCUUGCAGUGAUGUAUGGUAGUCUGUUGUUGUAAACAUCCCCGACUGGAAGCUGUACCAGCUCCAGCUUUCAGUCAGAUGUUUGCUGCACCUGGCUAUGCUUGGACAACAGCAGAAGGAGGAGCUGUCGUGAAUCCAUAUGUGCAUUUAUAUUUGUCAAGCAGUGUUUCUACAGACAGAGAUGGAUUGCCUCCCUGUGAAUUAUCCUGGCUGGUAGGUGUGACCUCCUGAAAUCUGACCUGAAAUGGAGAUCCAAAGCUGGUGCAUGCUUUGCUCAAAGCUGAGUUCUCUGCUGCUUUGUGUUAUAAAUUACAGGAUUAGGCUUCCUUGGAAUGACAAGUGCUGGUGAACCAUGCAGUUACCCAUCAACCCUUCAUUGCUUCAUCAAUGGUCUGUUCUAGCAGCUUCUCUUACUUUGGGCUGUGGGGACAAAUUAUUAUCAAUGCUGUCCAAUACUUAGCAGGCCUCAUAUCUGCUGUGCCUUGCUUUUUGUUGUUUUCUCUGGAAUUUUGUAUUCCAAGUCUCCUUGUGAGAAGGUUGUGCUCCUAAUUGUUAGCUGGGCAUAACCCAAGACCAAAAUAAAGGUUAAAAACAUAUCACCCAGUCUGUUUUUGCUGUUCUCCCAAUCCACAGUGUAUGGCCUUGUCUGUGGUGUGGUUUGUGCUGCCCCCACCAUGGUUUGCUGUUCUUGGAAAUAACAGCUUUUGAAAGUAUUCCUUCAGAAGUCUUCACUGGUUCAGUUCCUGAACAACUUCAAACAGUCAUGACAUCAGGAACAGUAUCUGCAGAAAAGCUUCAGCUUUCCACUUUUCUCCAGUGGGAUCUGCACAUGCUGUUGCCUGGAUCUGGCCUGGGAUUUCUUUCCUUCUUGGUUUCACUCUAGUCUUCUGUUUUUAAAGGGAUGGCCAAUGAGAGUAACUGCUGCUAAUAGAAAAAAUAUUCUUGCAAUAAUCUAGCUCUCUGUCCUACCCCCUCAAACGUUAUUUUUUUAUUCCCUAACACUUAAAUGAAAUAUUUUGUUGGAUUUAAAUGUUAGUAUACCAAACCUAGGUAUUUAUUUGUUUAGCUUCACUAUAGUGGUCCUGUAAAAGAUGAUUAUGACCAAAAAUAUAGAUACAUUUAAACAGUAAAAUAUUUUCUCCUUAACUUAUCAGAAUUAAAACUUGGAGGAUUUCUUAGUCCUGGGAAAACUGGACUAAUAAGCAUUGGAAAGGUGGUAAUUUUGAAGCUGUCAGUAAAUGACCAAAGGUGAACCAAGGACAGCCAUUUUUCUGUGAUGGUCCCAUUACUGUAACCAUUUUGUUCCUUACCCUGUGUCCUGUCUGGUGACACAGGAACGUGUGGUGAUAGAAGGUUGUGAACUUACUUAGUGAUCUAAUUCAUUGCUAGCACCUCUACAAAGAUUUUUAAAGCAACUUGCACACCUAAUAUAACCUCAGUUUAAAUAGCUUUUUUAAAAAUAAUUAUCUUAUUUGGUUUGAUAAAUCAUGGCUGUCUAUUUAUAAAAGGGACUUUGAUGCAGAAGCUACAAAGCUUGAUGCCUUAAAAAAAUGCUGGUAGUUGUUUUCUAAGCUUUCUUUGCUGUAAACAUUUAGCAUUUCCUAGUUCUAGACAGUAUUUGGACUUAGAAGAAAGGAAAUUGUUUCUGAUAACAAACUUCUUAGAUCAAAGUAAAUGUAUUAUAAUGAAUCUAGUGUUCAUUUUGGUUAGUGCUGUCUUUGCCAUUCCACAUGCCACAUAAGUGCUGCUUUUGGUUUUUAAUAAGCCUAGUUCAUGUGCAGUUUGUCAGUCCAGUCUUGUGGAAUUGAACUUGUGCAUACCUUCAUAUUGUACUGGUGUCUAAUCCAUGUACUCAAACAGAGCUGUCAAAUGUCAGCACAUGAAAAUAAUUUGAAGUAGCUUGUAACUGCAAUAAAUAAAUAAAUUUUAAAUAAAUUUUAAAAUCCA